AGCUGUUGGCCCGCAGCCCCUGCCAGGCCCAGGUGCCCUUGGGCCGGUACUCCAGGACGAUGGCUGUGAUAGGGCAGCCCCCGUUGUUCCAGCCCUGCAGGUUAAGCCGAGCAUGCGUGGAGUUGAUGUGGGUGAACAGCUGGGUGAUCGCUAAGCCUCACCCCGCCCGUGGGUCUUUGCCUCGAUGAUCUCGCUGAUGCGCCCGGAGCCCACGCUGUUCUUGGCUGCCAGCUUCACCUUGUACCACGUGCCACACUUGAGGCUGUCCAGCUUGAAGGACCGCUCCCCUGAGCUGAUGAACACAUCCUUCCACUCUUCGCUGUUGUCCACCGAGUACUGCAGCACGAAGCCUGCCCGGGAGAUCCUCCUGGUGAUUCAUGUGCUUAUUCAAGGCCGAGAAGCACUCUCUGUCUACUGUUACAGAUUUGGGAACUGAGGCCCAGAGAAGAAAGCAGAUCUCUCCAGGUUCACACAGCUCACCAGCAGCAUUUGGGGCGGGCCGUCUAAACGUGGGAUACCUAGGCUGGUGACUUUCUGUGGCACUUGGGUAACUUCCUACCGGUCCGAAUUGCCCAUCCCCCUGGCCACUGAUCACUUAUGGGGCAUUAUGGGGACCAAGUGGUGGGAGUGGGUGAAGCCCUUCCCCUGCUCCUGGGCCCAGAGUUUCUUCCCCUUUCCCCCCCUCCUCAUCCAGACCCCUCUCACCUCGGAUGGAGCUGCCCCCAUUGUCACCUGGAAUCCAGGUCAGGGUGAUGGAUGAAGCGGAGGUUUUAGAGACAGUGAGGCGGGGCUGGUCCGGGGGAACUGUGAGAGAAAGCCACCGGCCCUCACCACAAAGUGUUAGUUAACAUCCCAUGACGGGGGCGUGGGGUCUCCCAGCUGCAAGUGAGGGCCAAGGCCUGGCUUUUCCACCCUCUUGGAGCCUCCCCGGCUCCUGCUCCUUCUCUCCAUCCCUCCUGCCUUCUCUUCCAGGUGGCACCUCUGUCCCACUGAGGGUCUGUCGCCCAGGUCGCUGGGGAGGUUGCCGGGCGGCCGGCCUUCCAGGGUCUUACCUUGCACCAGAAGGUUGACGAUGAUGGUGUCGAAGCCUCCAGUGUUGGUGGCCGUGCAGGUGUAGUAGCCCGAGUCCUCAGCCUUCACAGCACGCAGCAGCAGUGUGCCGUUGGUAUGGAUGAGCCGGUGCCCGUCCAUGGACACAGGGAUGGCCGAGUCUUCACUGCAGGGGUGGGGGGGGGCAGAGAUGGGUUAUGGCACCCAGGGAGGGGAGAUCCUUAGCCGUCAACGGUGGGGAGCCAGGGAGCCCAGGCCUCCUGGGAGAGCAGUAGCCGUGCACCCGGCAGGGCCUCUGGUCAGCUGGAAGCAGGGGCUGGAUCUCCCACUGAAUUGCAGGGCAGCCGGACGUCUUUCAUCCAGGGUGUUGUCACGGUGCCUCCGAAUGAGAUGAUCUUCGCUGGGGCUACGGGGAGGAGAACGUGAGGGCACCCCACUCCUACCCACAAUGCUGUACUGGGCGGCCUUUCUUGGGGCUCGCCAGAUUUAUGCAUCAAGCCCCCCGUCUCCUACCUGACCUCCGUUUUGAGCUUGGAGCAGGGGUGGGUGCAGGCAAUCUCAGAUGGGAGUCAUUGGUUCAACAAACAUUUAUCAAAUAAAUACUUGCUAUGGGCCAGGUCUCCCAGGAGGCUCUGAAGACUCA